UUUGUACAACACUUACGCCCGGUUUCCGAAAGGCUGAUCAACGCAGAAAUUAACAAAUCAUCUGUCAAAUCUCUUGUUAAGCAUUAAAUGAGUUGCUAAAAGCAUGAUUAACUACUUAAUUUAAUCAUACUGCCAGUUGACAUAGGUGUCAAAUUUGACUCUAGAAUCGAAUGUUAACCGCCAUUUUGGGUUUCUGAAACGCGAAUUAAGCUAUAAUCAUUGAUCAAACGUCUGUCAAACACUCGGUCAACUAAUCGGUGUAUAUCGGUGAAUUAACUUAAGGAAAACAAUUAUUUUCUACGUGAAACUACAUUUUGGUUCUUUAAAGCUUACACAGAUGUCUAUUAUUAUUACCAAGAAGAUACUGGUCAAAGUUCAAUAAAUAAAUGAAAACACUUCUGUGCGGUCAUCUCUAUUAUUGACACAUUUUAAUUGUUAAGUUUUAAAUUUGAUUACUAUCAAUAUAUAAAUAAUAGGGAAUUUAAUAAAAAAAAGGUCAUAAAAAUAUAUAUCUAAAUAUACAUUUGUAGGAACUAUAAAAAAAAUACUUAUAAUUACUUAAUAACUAAAAUUUAAAACAAACUAUUAUAAUUAUAAUUACUUUAUCAUAUUUUCAUACUACUAUUUUCUACUUAAUUAAUGUUUUUUUUUUUAAAUCAGUAUUUUCUGAUACUUUAAUAUUUUUUUCUAAAGAUUUCCUCUUCGUCUUAUUUUCAUCAUAUUGUUUUUUUUAAUAAUAAAAAUAUUAAAUAAAUAAAUAAAUAUCAUAUAACAUACAUGUUUUUAUAAAUAUACAUAGAAAUAAUAGAUAUAUAAAUACAAAUAUUACACCCAGACUCAGACGGGAAUCGAACCCGCAACCCGCGGAACAAAAAGCAGGGCCACUACAAACUGCGCCAACGGGCUAGUCAAUUAUUGUUUUUAGGAACUAUUUUCUUUUUUUGUAUCUUCCUUAAAUGUUAAUAUGAUGCUUUAUUAGAUGUAUCAGUAUUAUCAGAUGUAUUAAAUAGCAUCACAACUAACAGUUUCUGUAGGUUUUGAUACAUCACAAAUAUAUAAAAUAAUAUUUAAUUAUGUUACAUGACCACAUGUUACAAACCGAAUGUCAAAUCAAACUAAUCAAAGACUAGCUAAUUUUGCUGUGAAUAACUUUUCAGCAACUCAAAUUCACUUGACAGCCGUUUUAAAUCUAACAGCCGAUUAGUAUACCUAUACUUUGACAAACGUUUCAGAAACCGGGCGUUAGGAUUU
rnacentral:misc_RNA from 1 species